UGGUGGGUAGUUUGACUGGGGCGGUCUCCUCCUAAAGAGUAACGGAGGAGCACGAAGGUUGGCUAAUCCUGGUCGGACAUCAGGAGGUUAGUGCAAUGGCAUAAGCCAGCUUGACUGCGAGCGUGACGGCGCGAGCAGGUGCGAAAGCAGGUCAUAGUGAUCCGGUGGUUCUGAAUGGAAGGGCCAUCGCUCAACGGAUAAAAGGUACUCCGGGGAUAACAGGCUGAUACCGCCCAAGAGUUCAUAUCGACGGCGGUGUUUGGCACCUCGAUGUCGGCUCAUCACAUCCUGGGGCUGAAGUAGGUCCCAAGGGUAUGGCUGUUCGCCAUUUAAAGUGGUACGCGAGCUGGGUUUAGAACGUCGUGAGACAGUUCGGUCCCUAUCUGCCGUGGGCGCUGGAGAACUGAGGGGGGCUGCUCCUAGUACGAG
rnacentral:rRNA from 2 species